GAUGAAUGCUGGCGGCGUGCCUAAUACAUGCAAGUCGAGCGAACAGACGAGGAGCUUGCUCCUCUGACGUUAGCGGCGGACGGGUGAGUAACACGUGGAUAACCUACCUAUAAGACUGGGAUAACUUCGGGAAACCGGAGCUAAUACCGGAUAACAUGUUGAACCACAUGGUUCAACAGUGAAAGACGGUCUUGCUGUCACUUAUAGAUGGAUCCGCGCCGCAUUAGCUAGUUGGUAAGGUAACGGCUUACCAAGGCAACGAUGCGUAGCCGACCUGAGAGGGUGAUCGGCCACACUGGAACUGGGACACGGUCCAGACUCCUACGGGAGGCAGCAGUAGGGAAUCUUCCGCAAUGGGCGAAAGCCUGACGGAGCAACGCCGCGUGAGUGAAGAAGGUCUUCGGAUCGUAAAACUCUGUUAUUAGGGAAGAACAAAUGUGUAAGUAACUAUGCACGUCUUGACGGUACCUAAUCAGAAAGCCACGGCUAACUACGUG
rnacentral:rRNA from 1 species